rnacentral:rRNA from 1 species
UACGUAGGGGGCAAGCGUUGUCCGGAUUUAUUGGGCGUAAAGAGCGUGUAGGCGGCCAUACAGGUCCGUUGUGAAAACUCGAGGCUUAACCUCGAGACGUCGAUGGAAACCGUAUGGCUAGAGUCCGGAAGAGGAGAGUGGAAUUCCUGGUGUAGCGGUGAAAUGCGCAGAUAUCAGGAAGAACACCCGUGGCGAAGGCGGCUCACUGGCCCGGUACUGACGCUGAGGUGCGAAAGCGUGGGGAGCAAACAGG